UGGGGAAUUUUGGACAAUGGGCGAAAGCCUGAUCCAGCAAUGCCGCGUGUGUGAAGAAGGCCUUCGGGCUGUAAAGCACUUUUGUCCGGAAAGAAAUCCUUGGCUCUAAUACAGUCGGGGGAUGACGGUACCGGAAGAAUAAGCACCGGCUAACUACGUGCCAGCAGCCGCGGUAAUACGUAGGGUGCAAGCGUUAAUCGGAAUUACUGGGCGUAAAGCGUGCGCAGGCGGUUUGCUAAGACCGAUGUGAAAUCCCCGGGCUCAACCUGGGAACUGCAUUGGUGACUGGCAGGCUAGAGUAUGGCAGAGGGGGGUAGAAUUCCACGUGUAGCAGUGAAAUGCGUAGAGAUGUGGAGGAAUACCGAUGGCGAAGGCAGCCCCCUGGGCCAAUACUGACGCUCAUGCACGAAAAGCGUGGGGAGCAAACAGGAUUAGAUACCCUGGUAGUCCACGCCCUAAAACGAUGUCAACUAGUUGUUGGGGAUUCAUUUCCUUAGUAACGUAGCUAACGCGUGAAGUUGACCGCCUGGGGAGUACGGUCGCAAGAUUAAAACUCAAAUGAAUUGACGGGGUCAUAGCUGUUUCCU
rnacentral:rRNA from 1 species